AGAGUUUGAUCAUGGCUCAGGAUGAACGUUGGCGGUGUGCCUAAUACAUGCAAGUCGAACGGAGUUAAUGGCAAUAUUGACUUAGUGGCGAACGGGUGAGUAACGCGUUGGUGAUCUGCCUCGAAGUGUGGAAUAACGUUCCGAGAGGAUCGCUAAUACCGCAUGUGCUCUCGAUUUUUAGAAAGUUGAGAGUAAAGGAUUUAUUCGCUUCGAGAGGAGCCUGCGUCCCAUCAGCUGGUUGGUAGGGUAACGGCCUACCAAGGCUAUGACGGGUAGGGGACCUGAGAGGGUGGCCCCCCACAAUGGAACUGAGACACGGUCCAUACACCUACGGGUGGCAGCAGUAGGGAUUAUUAGAAAUGGACGAAAGUCUGAUCUAGCAACACCGCGUGUGCGAAGAAGGCCUUCGGGUCGUAAAGCACUUUUUGGAAGGAAUAGGAAGGAAUGUACUUCCAGAAUAAGUCUCGGCUAACUACGUGCCAGCAGCCGCGGUAACACGUAGGAGGCAAACGUUAUCCGGAUUUACUGGGCGUAAAGCGCGUGUAGGUGGUACUGUAAGUAGGGCGUGAAAGCUCCCGGCUCAACUGGGAGAGGCCGUUCUAAACUGCAGAACUAGAGGAUGGUAGAGGGAGGUGGAAUUCCAGGUGUAGCGGUGGAAUGCGCAGAUAUCUGGAGGAACACCAGUGGCGAAGGCGGCCUCCUGGACCAUUCCUGACACUCAGACGCGAAAGCUAGGGUAGCAAACGGGAUUAGAGACCCCGGUAGUCCUAGCCCUAAACGAUGUAGACUAGGCGUCGGUGGUUUAAUCACCAUCGGUGUCCAAGCUAACGCGAUAAGUCUACCGCCUGGGGACUACGGCCGCAAGGUUAAAACUCAAAUGAAUUGACGG
rnacentral:rRNA from 1 species